GUACCAGUAGCGCAAUGGUUAGCAUGUCGGCCAAUGACGCUGAACGCCUGGGUUCGAAUCCUGGCAGGAACA
rnacentral:tRNA from 1 species